UACGGAGGGUGCAAGCGUUGUCCGGAAUCACUGGGCGUAAAGGGCGCGUAGGCGGCUCAUGAAGGCUGUGGUGAAAGUCCGGGGCUCAACCUCAGAUCGGCCGUGGCGACUCGUGGGCUGGAGUACUGUAGAGGCGGGUGGAAUUCCGGGUGUAGCGGUGGAAUGCGUAGAGAUCCGGAAGAACACCAGUGGCGAAGGCGGCCCGCUGGGCAGUGGCUGACGCUGAGGCGCGACAGCGUGGGGAGCAAAAGGG
rnacentral:rRNA from 1 species